CUGGAAGGUAUUUGAAAGUAGAAGAUUUAUCUAUGGUACUUUUAUUUAAUGGAGUGCAAAUAGUUGAUACGAUUACAUUUAAGUGUAUAGCAACCAAAGAGUCCGAUCUUAAUACCGCUUAUUGGGACCACGAAACUGAAGAAAUGGGUAUAUUUGCAAUAGCUGAUGUUUCAUGCAUGAGCAAUAAAGAUAUGUCACACGAACUUUCUUGUGAUUUAAGUUGCGAACAACUAAGAGAUGAUGAUAUUGAAGACGAUGUAGUUUGUGCUAUUAAACUAUUCAAUCUUUAUAAAAAAAUGACUGGAGACGGUUUCACCUACUGGCCUGUUUAUGUAGAAGGUUACUGUAGAAGCGAAACUGAUUACUAUAUAUAAAACACUAGCAUAAACAUCGUUAGAUAAAAUAGUGUUUUGCAUGUCACCACUGAACCACCUAAGUUGGUGGUAGAUCUCCUCUUUCUGUUUAUCUGUACAACUCCGUAACUCAAGGAUGUUAUCUUCAUAGCGAUGGUCAUAUGUUUUUCGCUCAGAUUACUGAUGUGAUCGUAACA